AGAGUUUGAUCAUGGCUCAGAACGAACGCUGGCGGCAGGCCUAACACAUGCAAGUCGAACGAAGCCUUCGGGCUUAGUGGCGGACGGGUUAGUAACGCGUGGGAACGUGCCCUUCACUACGGAAUAGUCCUGGGAAACUGGGUUUAAUACCGUAUACGCCCUUCGGGGGAAAGAAUUUCGGUGAAGGAUCGGCCCGCGUCUGAUUAGGUAGUUGGUGGGGUAAUGGCCUACCAAGCCGACGAUCAGUAGCUGGUUUUAGAGGAUGAUCAGCCACACUGGGACUGAGACGCGGCCCAGACUCCUACGGGAGGCAGCAGUGGGGAAUCUUGGACAAUGGGGGCAACCCUGAUCCAGCCAUGCCGCGUGAGUGAUGAAGGCCCUAGGGUCGUAAAGCUCUUUCGCCUGUGAUGAUAAUGACAGUAGCAGGUAAAGAAACCCCGGCUAACUCCGUGCCAGCAGCCGCGGUAAUACGGAGGGGGUUAGCGUUGUUCGGAAUUACUGGGCGUAAAGCGCGCGUAGGCGGACUAUUAAGUCAGGGGUGAAAUCCCGGGGCUCAACCCCGGAACUGCCCUUGAUACUGGUAGUCUUGAGUUCGAGAGAGGUGAGUGGAAUUCCGAGUGUAGAGGUGAAAUUCGUAGAUAUUCGGAGGAACACCAGUGGCGAAGGCGGCUCACUGGCUCGAUACUGACGCUGAGGUGCG
rnacentral:rRNA from 1 species